rnacentral:rRNA from 1 species
ACGCACGCUGGCGGCGUGCUUAACACAUGCAAGUCGAACGGAAAGGCCCUGCUUUUGUGGGGUGCUCGAGUGGCGAACGGGUGAGUAACACGUGAGUAACCUGCCCUUGACUUUGGGAUAACUUCAGGAAACUGGGGCUAAUACCGGAUAGGAGCUCCUGCUGCAUGGUGGGGGUUGGAAAGUUUCGGCGGUUGGGGAUGGACUCGCGGCUUAUCAGCUUGUUGGUGGGGUAGUGGCUUACCAAGGCUUUGACGGGUAGCCGGCCUGAGAGGGUGACCGGCCACAUUGGGACUGAGAUACGGCCCAGACUCCUACGGGAGGCAGCAGUGGGGAAUAUUGCACAAUGGGCGGAAGCCUGAUGCAGCAACGCCGCGUGCGGGAUGACGGCCUUCGGGUUGUAAACCGCUUUCACCUGUGACGAAGCGUGAGUGACGGUAAUGGGUAAAGAAGCACCGGCUAACUACGUG